GGCGGACGGGUGAGUAACACGUGGGUACCUGCCUGUAAGACUGGGAUAACUCCGGGAACCGGGGCUAAUACCGGAUGGUUGUUUGAACCGCAUGGUUCAACAUAAAAGGUGGCUUCGGCUACCACUUACAGAUGGACCCGCGGCGCAUUAGCUAGUUGGUGAGGUAACGGCUCACCAAGGCGACGAUGCGUAGCCGACCUGAGAGGGUGAUCGGCCACACUGGGACUGAGACACGGCCCAGACUCCUACGGGAGGCAGCAGUAGGGAAUCUUCCGCAAUGGACGAAAGUCUGACGGAGCAACGCCGCGUGAGUGAUGAAGGUUUUCGGAUCGUAAAGCUCUGUUGUUAGGGAAGAACAAGUACCGUUCGAAUAGGGCGGUACCUUGACGGUACCUAACCAGAAAGCC
rnacentral:rRNA from 1 species